rnacentral:rRNA from 1 species
AUUGAACGCUGGCGGCAUGCCUUACACAUGCAAGUCGAACGGCAGCACGGGUGCUUGCACCUGGUGGCGAGUGGCGAACGGGUGAGUAAUACAUUGGAACAUGUCCUGUAGUGGGGGAUAGCCCGGCGAAAGCCGGAUUAAUACCGCAUACGAUCUACGGAUGAAAGCGGGGGACCUUCGGGCCUCGCGCUAUAGGGUUGGCCGAUGGCUGAUUAGCUAGUUGGUGGGGUAAAGGCCUACCAAGGCGACGAUCAGUAGCUGGUCUGAGAGGACGACCAGCCACACUGGGACUGAGACACGGCCCAGACUCCUACGGGAGGCAGCAGUGGGGAAUUUUGGACAAUGGGCGAAAGCCUGAUCCAGCAAUGCCGCGUGUGUGAAGAAGGCCUUCGGGUUGUAAAGCACUUUUGUCCGGAAAGAAAUCCUUGGCUCUAAUACAGUCGGGGGAUGACGGUACCGGAAGAAUAAGCACCGGCUAACUACGUG